UACGUAGGGGGCAAGCGUUGUCCGGAAUCAUUGGGCGUAAAGAGCGUGUAGGCGGCUCGGUAAGUCCGCUGUAAAAGUCAAAGGCUCAACCUUUGAAUGUCAGUGGAUACUGCCGGGCUAGAGUUCGGGAGAGGAGAGUGGAAUUCCCAGUGUAGAGGUGAAAUUCGUAGAUAUUGGGAAGAACACCGGUGGCGAAGGCGGCUCUCUGGACCGAGACUGACGCUGAGGCGCGAAAGCGUGGGGAGCAAACAGG
rnacentral:rRNA from 1 species